AAGACGAGAAGACCCUGUGGAGCUUUAACUAAGUAACUCAAGGAAAAUAAAUUCAACCACCAAGGGAUAACAACACUCCUUAUGAGUUAACAGUUUCGGUUGGGGUGACCUCGGAGAACAGAAAAUCCUCCGAGCGAUUUUAAAGACUAGACUAACAAGUCAAACCAAACCAUCGCUUAUUGAUCCAAAAACUUGAUCAACGGAACAAGUUACCCUAGGGAUAACAGCGCAAUC
rnacentral:rRNA from 1 species